GGGAAUAAUGGAAUGCCAAAUAGGUAAUGAACCCUUCACGAGGAGGAUGAUAGAACCCAACAAAGUGGUAGAGGUUUUGCAAAGCCUGGCACUACAUACAUCCUGUGUUUGCUACUUUCUUGGCAAGGAAAAUGAAGUCUCUGAGCUUCAGUUUCUUUUGAAGAGAAUCAUCUAUUUGGAAGUGUCUUAUAAUUUAAAAGGAGAGAAAACUGCCUAAUGGCACCCCUGUGAGUGUACUGUUCUGAGGUUGCUGAAGUAUAAAAUACAGCAUUUUCCUUGCCUGGUAGCCGUUCCAUCAAUUGUAUUAUAAUAAAAGAUAGCUACCUCCCUCUAAACCUAAGGAAAGGAAUUGGCACAGAUUCAAGGGAGAAGAGCUGAGCCGUGAAGUCCUAACUCCCUCACCUAAUGUGUCUCUUUCUUCAAAAUAUCACCUCCACUUCUUUCUAAUUAGUGUUUCUUUUCAUGGCUGGCACUCUCUGUGGCUCCUUGACUCAUACAGAUUAUAAUGUGAGAAGAAGACAUAAGGUUUAAACUGUUUGAGAGGAGAAAAGAAAGCAGUUUCCCUUCACAGUUCUGUAUUUGGCUCAAGACGUAGAGACUGAAUAUGACAGUGUGGAGAAAAACAGAUGAAGGAACAUUAACUAAACAUCUGCCAUGCUACCAUGGAAACCAGAAUCUAUGUACAAUGUACAAUAAAUCAUUUAAAAAGGCCAAACAAAUUAACAAAUGGACAGUUGAAUUGUAUAUGGAAAUAGGCAUGUGAAAUGUCAUCUCAAAGUGGAGAGAUUAUGAACUGCAAUUCCUCCAGGGGCAUUACUUGUUUGUCCGUGCAAAGUUGCACAUGCGCAUGUUUUCCCCUAUGUUCAUCGUGAUUUUCGGCAUGGAUGCUUCAUCAAGUUUGAGUUGUUAUUUUAUAUAUUAUGUAUGGGCGCAUAUAAAGUUUUUUGUUAUUAUCGUGAGAAUAAAAUCGAAAUCCUUAGA